rnacentral:sRNA from 4 species
UCUCUGUACGGGAAGGAUGAGAAGCUUCGACUAAGGUUCGAUUCGAGCGUCAGCGAGAAAGCGUUGCCGCAGGCAACGACCCGAAGGGCGAAGCGCGCAGCGCUGAGUCAUCCUUCCCCCACCACCA